rnacentral:rRNA from 1 species
UACAGGGGGGGCAAGCGUUGUUCGGAAUUACUGGGCGUAAAGGGCUCGUAGGCGGCCAACUAAGUCACACGUGAAAUCCCCAGGCUCAACCUGGGAACUGCGUGUGAUACUGGAUGGCUUGAAUUCGGGAGAGGGAUGCAGAAUUCCAGGUGUAGCGGUGAAAUGCGUCGAUAUCUGGAGGAAUACCGGUGGCGAAGGCGGCAUCCUGGACCGACAUUGACGCUGAUGAGCGAAAGCUAGGGGAGCAAACGGG